rnacentral:rRNA from 1 species
UGGGGAAUUUUCCGCAAUGGGCGAAAGCCUGACGGAGCAAUACCGCGUGAGGGAGGAAGGCUUUUGGGUUGUAAACCUCUUUUCUCAAGGAAGAAGAUCUGACGGUACUUGAGGAAUCAGCAUCGGCUAACUCCGUGCCAGCAGCCGCGGUAAUACGGAGGAUGCAAGCGUUAUCCGGAAUGAUUGGGCGUAAAGCGUCUGCAGGUGGCUAUGCAAGUCUGCUGUUAAAGAGUGGAGCUUAACUAGAUAAUGGCGGUGGAAACUGCAAAACUAGAGUGCGUUCGGGGCAGAGGGAAUUCCUGGUGUAGCGGUGAAAUGCGUAGAUAUCAGGAAGAACACCGGUGGCGAAGGCGCUCUGCUAGGCCGCAACUGACACUGAGGGACGAAAGCUAGGGGAGCGAAUGGGAUUAGAUACCCCCGUAGUCC